rnacentral:rRNA from 1 species
GACGAACGCUGGCGGCGUGCUUAACACAUGCAAGUCGAACGCGCCUGUCCUCUGGGUUUCUGGGGGGUGGGUGAGUGGCGAACGGGUGAGUAACACGUGAGUAACCUGCCCCCUUCUUCGGGAUAACGGUCUGAAAGGGCUGCUAAUACCGGGUAUUCACUGGUCUCCGCAUGGGGUCUGGUGGAAAGGUUUUUUUCUGGUGGGGGAUGGGCUCGCGGCCUAUCAGCUUGUUGGUGGGGUGAUGGCCCACCAAGGCUUUGACGGGUAGCCGACCUGAGAGGGUGACCGGUCACAUUGGGACUGAGAUACGGCCCAGACUCCUACGGGAGGCAGCAGUGGGGAAUAUUGCACAAUGGGCGCAAGCCUGAUGCAGCGACGCCGCGUGAGGGAUGGAGGCCUUCGGGUUGUGAACCUCUUUCGCCCGUGGUCAAGCCGCGACGUGGGUCGUGGUGAGGGUAGUGGGUAAAGAAGCGCCGGCUAACUACGUG